rnacentral:lncRNA from 1 species
CUCAAGUGAGGGGACCACUCCAGAACUAGUAAACAUGUCCACUUGUUAUGAAAAUUUUCAGCGCUUGCCCACUUUCUCGAAAAAGUUGUUUAUCUGUCCCAUCACUUGGGGAAUAGACAUUUAGGGACAAAGAUGGGAGUGUGUCAAAAGUGGGCAAAUGUAGUUUGCUCUGGCUGUUACCAUGUGCUUGAAUAUUAGGAAUGUGUGGAACAGGCUUCUCGAAUUCAACAAUGCAAAUUGAGGUCAUUAUCUUCAGGUAUGUUUUAUGGGAUCCGUCCAAAUACCAAGGCAAUUUAUCACCUUCUCUACUUUCCUCUGCUGUCCCCACCCCUGAGCUUUCCUCACACCCUUGGACUUACUCACCUGCAUUUUCAGUUUGACAUGACUAAUGAAGUAUCAAACUGAAUAUGCUGUUAAUAAUUGGAGGAAACACCCAGACACAGUCUAUUUUAACUUCCUAAAGUUAUGAUUUUGCCUAGUAGGGUAGAGAAUAUCCAUUAUUUAAAACUUGCUGCUAGAAAUGAUUCAAGUGCCAGAACUAUGUAUGUGACAUCUAUUAUGGCUACGGUUACUAUUCUUUUCUUUUAAAGAAACUGAGUGUGUAGGAUGACUUGGAAGCUGACGUUACUUAAUUUCAAUUGUAUAGGUGCAAUUAUUAUUAUCAGCAUCUAGAAAGCAUCACACGGAGCAUUGACCUUCAUGCUGCAUUGUUCUUACUGGAUCCUCCUAUCCGUGAACAUUAUGCCAAGUACCAAUACAGCAUCAAGUCAUUUCUGGAUGGAAAGUUUUCAAACUUCUUCAUUUGGAGUUACUUAAACGUGAGGGUGUUGGGAUUUUUGAGGAUGCCUUCCCUAUGUGGAUUAUUACAGUUUGAUGACUGAUUCUCUGCCUCAAAGAAGUACUCUCAGGUGACUACGGAAGCAUUAGCACCCUGCAUGCUCAGGUGGCCCCCACUCCUACGGACACAGCUCUUUCACCUAUACGGAGUGUCUAACUGGAUGUCCUCUGCAAAUUCAUCAAAUGUGCCAUCUUUUCCAUCAUGUGGUCAUCCCUGGGAUCAUCAUCGAACAUCGUUCUCCACCACUCUGGUCCAUGGAUGGUUGUUCUCUUUUGUCCAUUCCAUCAAAUGUCCUGAACACUGUCAGAAGAGGGAAAAGGCUAAUGAAAUUUUGACAAACCAAUCCCACAGUCUAAGGUCAUACGUCUGUAGCUGAUUCAGACCUGAAAAUGAAUAGAGAUGUCAAAGCACUGAGCAUAUUGGAUGUUCACAGAUGAAUAAGCAAGAUGGCAGAAAUAGUUUUCUAGGUCUUUUUUUUUUCUUUGCCUUUGUAUGUUUUUGGUAAUUCUUCAACUUGAAAUUGUCAUAGAAUAUGUUGUCAUAUUUAUGUUUGCUUGUGCUUAGCAUAAAUAUAUAUAUAAACAUAUAACAUAUAUAUAUAUAAACAUGUAUCUAUGUUUCCAUAGUUCUAUCAUUGCAUCAUAAUAUGUAAUUAUGUGGGGAUAUAUAAAUGCUCCCCCUGUACAAUAGAGGAAAAAUGGGUCUGGUAUUUCCCUUAUGGAAGUAUCUCUAGACUAUUUUAUGUUUGGG